rnacentral:lncRNA from 1 species
GUCCAAGCCGUUCCUGCCAGCACCUCACCCUCCCACCUCAGCGUCACACACCAGCCUACCUGAAUGCUGCAGGCAGCCCACCGCCAGCCUCCAUCUUUGUCUCUAGAAGGGCUUUAACGGCCUGUAACACCUACACAGCAUGAGGAGAGAUGUACAGUCUGACUCCUGCCCUAGGGGUGCAGCUGCACCAGGUGGUGAUGGUGGUGAGGUAAUCAGUGUGGCCUUGCCCAUAACAGCCCCACAUGUGGGAGCAGAGCCUGAGCUGCCGCCCCUCAGCAAAGAGCGCUCUGUGGGCAGGCAGCAGUGGAUUUUAUCCAGCUCUACUUCAGAAGAUCCUGCUGAGGGAAGGUCCAGGCACAAAGAGCAAACAGAUACUUUCUAUAUGAAUUGCAUUUAUUUGAUUAAGAGAACAACAAACCAAGCAAAAAUAAGUCCCCUUGGCGAACUGCUCUGGUAUGUUUUUCUUCUGAUAAUCUGCAGAGAGGUUUUCUGUGCUCCUUGAAUAGAGAAAUGGAAAGGUGCAGUGCAGAAAAAGGAGCGUGCCCUGAGGAUCUUGAGGCAGAGAGCAGAGUGGGUGAGGCUCGGUGGCAGGUUCUCCUGUUAGCAUUGAGGAUUAAACCAAAGAUGUGUUGCCUGCAGUCAGUCUUCUGUGGAAACGUGUGAAUGGCAGCCCUGAGCAGGGGGCAGCAGGCAGUGAGCAAGUGGCAGUGCUGCUGAGCAGGGGGCUGGGGCCCUGUGUGGCCAGAGGGCUCUGGCAGCAGCUCUCCCUACCAAGGCAUGCUUGGAUCCCCCAGUGAGCAGCUCGGUGAGGAUGUGCAAAACCAGAGUGGGGUUUUGGGGUUCCUGGCACAGGUCAGGGGGGUUUUGUGGCAAUCAAAUCAGCUUUCCAUAUUUUCUUCAUAUCUUAUUUUGGGGAUUAUUUGUUGGAGAAAAAAAAAAAAAAAAAAAAAAAAAGUAAUGUGGCAGAAAUGGAGUUCUGUAUAUUUGUAUAACAAAAUGCUCUUUUCAUACUUCAGCUGAAUACAUACCUUUAUUUUCCUAUAUCAGACCUCAAAUUAACAC